rnacentral:ribozyme from 11 species
UCCGCAAAAACAAAAAGAACAGACUGACAGAAAGGAAGACAGACGAAAACAAAAGAAUUAAGUCAGUCCGUCGUACGAGUUGUUGCGGGAAUUUUUAGUCUCACGCUUUCUCUUUCUUCUUCUCUGUUUCCUUCGCCU